rnacentral:rRNA from 1 species
AUGGAGCCGAGCCGUGACAUGGGGAUGGAGGAGUUCGCCCGGGCGGUGGACUCAUGCGACGUGCUGAUGGGCGUGCACGGGGCCGCGCUCACAAACUUCUUCUUCUUGCGCACCAACGCGGUGCUGCUGCAGGUGGUGGGGCUGGGCCUGGAGCGCGAGGCCUUGCAUUACUACGGCAAUCAGGCCACGGCGGUGAUGGUGCAGCACAUCCAGUACUUCAUCAGUGCCGAGGAGAGCACGCUCUACGAAAAGUACGGCAAGGACCACCCGGCGGUUAGUGACCCGGACUCGGUGCACAAGCAGGGGUGGCAGGGUGCAAAGCGCUACUUCUGGGCGGAGCAAGACAUCAGACUCAACGUCACCAGAUUUGCUCCCACGCUGCAUCAGCUAAUCCGGACGCUCCAGGAGUAG